GUUUUCGUCUGCAUUCUGUCAGAAAGAUCAAAAGCUUUUUGUAUGUCUAUUUGAGCAUUUUUUCCAUUUCUUUUUCGCUGCGGAUAAAUUACCGGCAUUUGUGAUCGUAGGUGAGAAUGCUGUAUCAUAUACCGACUGUAUUAUAUACCGAAGAUUCGUUUACAUAUCAUCUGAUUUUCAAGUGCAAGUUUAGAUUGCGUAUGAGUGCAUUUAUACGUGUCGAAAUCUAAAACGCUGAUGUAGAUUUGUCGCUUACGAAUGUUAUUUAUCUUAGGCUUGUGAGCAAGGAAUACAAAAUAAAAGAGGAUUUAACUUCGUGUAAAACGUCGAAGAAAUUGGUUGGAUUUGUUACACUUACACAUGGGAUUAUAAAAUAUAGGAAUUAAUUGUAGAAUUGUGGUUAUACUUAUGUAAGAAAAUAUGUAUACAUGAUUUGAAGAGAUUCACUGUCGUUCGCAACUACCAAACAGGAAAGAAAGUCACCGUGUGCGAUCAAACUACGGAAGUAUGCCAGUCACCAUAUACACGUUCUCUUAUUAAAAUGCAGGUGUAGAAUACAUAUGUUAACCGCGAUGAGCUGUAUGUGAAAUCCAACCUUAAUAGUAUGUGCCAUGUGCGAAAUUCAAGAAGUUGAAAUCAGAUACAGGAUGUAAAGGAGUGCAUAAAACGUGACCCUUUAAAUGAAGUAAAAUUGUGAAAAAUCAUAAUCAUAUGUGCCUCGUAAGAGAUAUGAUAUGGCUUAUGUCAAAGGCAUGUAUGUAAUUUAAUACGACCUAAAUGCCAUUGUAAUGCGAUGUGGUUGGAAAUAAAUGUGCAGCUGUGAACGCGCAUCGCAUUCUAAUAACAGGAACAGGUGCACGUGGCUAUUAUGUGAAUAGGUCCGAAACAUUCAUAGGAUGCAUUACUGUUACUGAUAGUGUUAUGCAUAUGGAAACGCGCAUAGAAUUGAGAACUGCUUUACAUUAGAGGGUAACCGUUAGAUCUCUUACAUCAAACUUUAAUCAAUACUAGUUAUUGCCCGAGAUCAAACUAUUGUUUAUAUGUACAAGUAAAAUAAAACCAUUCCAGUACAUGUUUCGCUCCGGAAAACAUGACAUUAUUAUUAGCCUUACAUCUGUGACCCGUGGCCGUAAAGAAACUCUGGAGUGAAAAGGGGAUAUGAAAUACACGUACAAGUACUCUACGUGUGAAAUGCUGUUGGAAUUAAGGCGAAAGUAAAAUCAAGGAUGUAUUUCGCACUUGUUUCCUCCUCUACCCUUGAAGAUAGUGAACCCACCACGUCCCCAGAGACCUUUAACCUUGCAAUUAAAGGACAAAGGUCAGAGCCGCUCUUUGGUUACCAUGGCGACCAGAAUGGAAUCGUUGCGGAAAUGGAAACUAAGCUCAAGGACGAUGUUGAUGACGUCUGCUCUGACGUAACUGAUGACGUGUUCGUUGAAACUAGCGAGGCCGAACUAGCAGGUAACGCUCACCUUAAAGAAUAUUAUGAAUAAGGGCUUUUUCUUACACUGCGGCCAUUCAAAUGAAGUGCCCAAAGUGGUUGAUGUAGGCAGUUGGCUGCUAAAGUCGCGUGGCCACUUUCCAGAUUGUUUGUCAGCUGAAA